rnacentral:rRNA from 1 species
UGCGAACUCCUACGGGAGGCAGCAGUGGGGAAUCUUCCGCAAUGGGCGCAAGCCUGACGGAGCAACGCCGCGUGAGUGAAGAAGGUCUUCGGAUCGUAAAGCUCUGUUGAUGGGGACGAACGUGCCUAAUGCGAAUAGUUUUAGGUAAUGACGGUACCCAUCGAGGAAGCCACGGCUAACUACGUGCCAGCAGCCGCGGUAAUACGUAGGUGGCGAGCGUUGUCCGGAAUCAUUGGGCGUAAAGGGAGCGCAGGCGGGCAUGUAAGUCUUUCUUAAAAGUGCGGGGCUCAACCCCGUGAUGGGAAAGAAACUAUGUGUCUUGAGUACAGGAGAGGAAAGCGGAAUUCCCAGUGUAGCGGUGAAAUGCGUAGAUAUUGGGAGGAACACCAGUGGCGAAGGCGGCUUUCUGGACUGCAACUGACGCUGAGGCUCGAAAGCCAGGGGAGCGAACGGGAUUAGAUACCCUUGUAGUCCUAUC